GAUCCACAAUGGAUCCUAACUCCUAAAAUUAGGCUAACAGGUUGGUUAGGGGUGUGCCAGCACUCCCAAUUGCUGGGCAUGGCCACCAGCCUGCUAUGGCUUUCCCUAAUUCCCUCUUUAUGCACUUGCACUUACUCUUAGACCCUAAGUUCUACCCUCUCUUAUGAGCCUUGCUUUGGGACCUUGAGUUCCUUCUUAUCUUGAACAUUUGAGGGCUGGCCUUUCCACACUGCACUAUGAUCUAAUUCUGUAAUGUAUUUCGGGUGUAAGUACUGCUCGGAGCCCUUUGAGACUAUUGGGAACUUUAAGAUAUCCCAAAUAAGAGAAAGGCUUUUGGAAAUCUGAUAUUGGAAGUUGGUUUAUCUCAUAUCGUUAGACCUUGUGUAUGAAUUAUGGUGUUUG
rnacentral:lncRNA from 1 species